AUAUUACUAAGGGGAGGAAAAGAAACUAACAAGGAUUCCCCUAGUAACGGCGAGCGAAGCGGGAAUAGCCCAACUUGAAAAUCUCCCCUCUGGAGAAUUGUAGUCUAUAGAAGCGCCCUCUGGGGCAGGCGGAGCUCAAGUCGGAUCGAAUGCCGCGUCAGAGAGGGUGAUAACCCCGUCGGCUCCUGCCUUGCUCCUUCACGAGGUGCUUUCCACGAGUCGGGUUGUUUGGGAAUGCAGCCCUAAUUUGGAGGUAAAUCCCUUCUAAGGCUAAAUACUGGCGAGAGACCGAUAGCGCACAAGUA
rnacentral:rRNA from 1 species